rnacentral:tRNA from 1 species
GGGGAUGUAGCUCAGCGGUAGAGCGCUUGCCUAGCAAGCACAAGGCCCUGGGUUCGGUCCCCAGCUCCG